rnacentral:rRNA from 1 species
CACUGUCACUCCUACGGGGAGGCAGCAGUGGGGGAAUAUUGCACAAUGGGCGCAAGCCUGAUGCAGCCAUGCCGCGUGUGUGAAGAAGGCCUUCGGGUUGUAAAGCACUUUCAGUCGUGAGGAAGGUAGUGUAGUUAAUAGCUGCAUUAUUUGACGUUAGCGACAGAAGAAAGCACCGGCUAACUCCGUGCCAGCAGCCGCGGUAAUACGGAGGGUGCGAGCGUUAAUCGGAAUUACUGGGCGUAAAGCGCAUGCAGGUGGUUUGUUAAGUCAGAUGUGAAAGCCCGGGGCUCAACCUCGGAAUAGCAUUUGAAACUGGCAGACUAGAGUACUGUAGAGGGGGGUAGGAAUUUCAGGUGUAGCGGUGAAAUGCGUAGAGAUCUGAAGGAAUACCGGUGGCGAAGGCGGCCCCCUGGACAGAUACUGACACUCAGAUGCGAAAGCGUGGGGAGCAAACAGGAUUAGAUACCCUGGUAG